GGACAACCUCAUCACCACCUCACCUCUUGAACAGAAGUCAUUCAUACUGACAGUGUUGUUAAGGUUGUUGACAAACAACCAAAGUAACUUCCUUGGGCUGGUUUUGGAGCCAAGGCCCGCUUACUACACACCGGUGUCGCCAUUGUGGAAAUCAAAGUCCGGAGAGCAAAAUUCCCUGGGCCCUUGGAAGUCGUGAGUUUGGAUGUGGGGAGCUGGAGAAGGAUGCCUGCGGCCUCUAGCUGAGGCCACUAGGUGAGGAACACCUCACCUCUGUGCCUAUCUUCAGUUCUGAGUUCUUAUGAUGGGAUAAUAGCGGAGGGGUCUGUGAUCACUUACUUUUUUUUUUUUUCUUCUCACACUCCCACCCCUCAGCUGCAAGAAGACACUGUUACACAGUGAGGCUCUUCUGGGGAUGUAAGAAAGGCCCUAAAGUCAUGCCUUCUUCUGAUCGUCUGUGAAGAUGCUAGAUCUACUGAGAAAAACCUUUUUUAUCCAAGAGAGAAGAUGACCGGGAAAGCUCACACACAGCAUCUCUCUCGAGUGCGUCCGGAGAAGACAAGCAGUCAUGGGUCCUACCAUAGCAGGGAAUUUAACUGAACUGCAUGGCACGUGCCUUAGAGGGUGAAGGGUCCUCAGCCAGGAGAGGCUUCUGGUAUAAGCUGGAUGUGGAUUCUGGCCAUGGCAAAGGCUCAUGGACCCAGAAGGCACUUGUCAGUCAGGAUUCAAUCAUGGAGGCGGAGACAAUAGGAGACAGAUGUGUGCAGAUCUUCAGCACUCAUGGUAUUUAUUGUACCAAUGUGCCUCUGCAAAGCCAUCUCUGCAGUAAUGCUGGAGACCAGAGCUUGCACUUGGGUAGUCGGGAAAUAGGGGCAUGAGCAGAAUGGAACUUCACAAGCAACAGGCAGGCACCACACCCCCACAGCCAGGCUGACCUACUUCGGGUCAUUUUCCCUGACUUUGGUAACGGGGAUAUCCUGUCCAAGCCAGGAUUCUUUCCAUGUCGGAAACUGAGCACAGAUAGACCUAACAGGGACCUCAGAGAAAACAAGGGAUGUUUAAGGGGGAAGCGGUGAGCUAUCACAGGUCAAGUUGUUGCUUCAUACCAAGCCAGUGGAUCAAUGGAUUAGAGACACUGUGUGGGUUGAGUCUAUAGUUCAAAUACAGAGCACUUGCCAAGAAGCAAUGUGUCUAUGUUACAAAAUUCCACUCUCUCCUCCAUCCUCUAACCCUCAAAAAAGAACCUCCCACUAUGGUCUGCAACAAACAACAGGAAAUACAGGAGAAGAAUGUGUACAGCCCUGCUUCAUAAGUGGGCACAUUGCAAAGCCAUUAAAAGAAAAAUUGGCUGUCUAGUGUGGGCGGCAUAGAGUACCAUUAUGAACGGCGAUGCCUGCCACUAGCUCCCACCACUAAACGUUGAGUCUUGCCAGGGGAAAUGGUUACCUAUGACUUGACUUUUGGCUACUUGGGGGUUAUUCUCUCACCCUUUAUCAGCCCCUCCUCUUCCACCCUUUUCACUCACACACACACACACACACACACACCCAACACUAGAUAGGAGAGAGAAAAAAAGGUCGGAGGGGAAAGGAGGCACUAUCAUUAGACUACUUCCUGUUGACUAGGGGUACCGGAUUCCUUGGGGGUAAAUUUGACCUUCACUGCCAUUGGGAUAUCUAAUUUCUUCUUUUAAUUUUUUUUUUUGC
rnacentral:lncRNA from 1 species